GGUUGUGUAGUGUAGUGGUAAUCACUGUAAGUUUCCUGUUCCGGCAACCCCGGUUCGAACCCGGGCACGACCU